rnacentral:rRNA from 1 species
UGACCAACCCGAGGAGUACGUCGGGCCGUUCCCCGUUCGGGGGACAGGGUGACAGGUGGGUGCAUGGUUGUCGUCAGCUCGUGUCGUGAGAUGUUGGGUUAAGUCCCGCAACGAGCGCAACCCUCGACCUUAGUUGCCAGCAUUCAGUUGGGCACUCUAAGGUGACUGCCGGCUAAAAGUCGGAGGAAGGUGGGGAUGACGUCAAAUCAUCAUGCCCCUUAUGACCUGGGCUACACACGUGCUACAAUGGGCGGUACAAAGGGUCGCGAACCCGCGAGGGGGAGCCAAUCCCAAAAAGCCAUCCUCAGUUCGGAUUGGAGUCUGCAACUCGACUCCAUGAAGUUGGAAUCGCUAGUAAUCGCGGAUCAGCAUGCCGCGGUGAAUACGUUCCCGGGCCUU